rnacentral:lncRNA from 1 species
CCCGCGCCGGGUCCGCCCUGACUUGACGAGGCCCGGUGGAGAUGGUUCCGGUACUCUUGAGCUGGUGACCCCGGCGGCCCAGAGCAGCUGGGGGAGGGGAGGAGGUUCCGUGCGGCGCUGCCAGCGCGCCGGCGCCGCUAUCUUCCAGCUUGGUGUGAGGGCACGGGCACGUGGUUGGAAGGUUCUCUAGGAUGGAUUGAUUCUGACCCAGGCAUCUGUGAUGGGCAUUUCACCUGGGG